CUUCAAGAUAUCCAAACACUGUUAUAAGUCAUGGUGAAGAAAACAAUGAGUGAAGAAACUUCAUUUCUUGCUUUAGUACUUCAAAGCUUUUCUCACCUUUUGAGAUGAAACUUGAGAUAUUUGAGGAUGCUGCGACUUGGCAGAAAUGUGCAGCUCAUGCAGGCAUAAAAGCAGCAAGGCUUUAUGUGAGUUCAAGUAAUACUGAGUGCAAGCAAGCCCCUCCAGGUCUCCCAUCCAAGCUCGUGUCAUACCCUGCUUCCUGAAGACAAGUACCUUGUACAGGACUUCUUCAAGCAGCUUUUUUUCAGUACUGUUGCAACUUGCAUGCAACUGAAUCUGUUUUUCCUGAAAUCACUUCCCCAAAUGCUACCUGGUACCCCAACUCCAAACACAUGCACAGAGAAGAACUUUGCUUAUAAAUGGCAUCCAAGGCCAUGCACCGAACUCCUCUAAGCAUCGUGCAGUUCUGCAUUAUAACAGUUAAAACCAUAUUUGUGCAGAAGCCCAGAACUGCAAGUAGCAUCUGAGCUACCUCUGACUCUAAUGCACUCACCCCAGUGGCAUCUAGAUGGCAACAGACAACUAUUUCCAUAUGUACUCUAAGCAAAUCAAGCUACACAAUGCAGACUUUUCUCAGAACAGCUACAGUGACUCUACAGGGGCACAGCAAGGGAAAAAAAAAUCAGAAAGCACAUAUCAUUUAUUAGAUAAUAAAACCAGUGAUACUUACGGAAGACUGAGCUCCCUCAGAG